AUACCAUUUAUAACAUUCAUUUACCGUUAAGUAUCUAAUCAAAACGUUACUUGGAGAUCGUGGAGAUAGGGAAUUGAUCGUUAUCUUGAUGAAACGACUACGAUACGAACGACUUUUUACGGCGACCGUUUCGAGGAGAUUAAUCAAUACGAAUUUCGUUUCCACAUGUUGAACCGCGAAGUGGACGACACGUGACUGAAAAAGGAAGCAAUUCGUAAAUUGAACUCGCGCGCAGAAUGGCUCUCGAUGGCGCCUCGUCGGAGAUGUUCAAGAGGCCUCGAAUCGUUUGAGGAUGAUGUGUUGUUCAGAUAUCGUUACAAUGACAAAAGUGCAAGAAAAAGAAGCUUUUUAUAGGAAAAGUGAAUUCGAAUGAAGUUUUAAAGUUUUUUUUUGUAUAGGAAGAUUUGUAUACAUUAUUGAUAUAAAAAAAAUUAAGUUCUUUGAUUUGAGGCGGUAACAUCCAUUCUCAACGAUUUUCGAUAUUCUUGGUGGCACGACAAGGAAAUUUAGCGGAAAGUUUCUUAAUUACCUUGUUUCACUUAUUUCAAUGUUUGCAGUAUCGCUCGAGAAGGCCAUUAACAGGUGUAAUAAAAUGGAAUGGCACGAUCUUCCCUUACAGGCAUGCGAAAGAAAUAUGGAAACGAAUUGACCGUGAUCCGCUUGGUGAAAACUCGAUGCACACGAGAGAAAUACACGAUAAUUGUUGCGUGAGAAUCGCCUGCUACGUUUCGUACAAUUACCGGCAACUUCGUUUCCGCCUCGCUGGAGGAUUCUCGUUUCUAUCACCGUUUAUCGAAUCUACCCUUUCUACGAGUGAAUCCAAAGAAAUUGUUGAAAAUAAAUUUUAGUAAUUGUUACUAAAUGAUUGGGUUAAUUCUAAUUUUGAUAACGUCGUUCACUUAUCUUCUUUAGAGGUUUAAUUUUUUGUU